GUAGGGUCUGUACCAUUCCGGUUGGGGCCUUAAUGCAGCGGCCUGCGUUCAAUUCUGGCUCAGGCCAGUCCCUUUUCACUUUCCUACAUUUCCUGUCUACAUCUAACGUCUCUGUCCAAUAAAGCCCCGAAAAAGUCUCAACUAUAACAUAUUUUUUUGGUGGGGUGGGUCCAUGCUUAAAAUCAGACCAACCACAUUUCGAUUGUACAGAGCAAUGUUGGGGCAGGGCUAAUUACAUUUACUGUGACUUCCACCUCCCACAGCAACACUUUCAGCAGCCUGUGUGAAGAUGGGGAGCUGCCUCAAAGUUCUGAUUCUGAUCAUUACGAUAGGUAAACAAGAUGUAAACAUGUGUCCUGGAAUCCUCAGUAUCACUAGAAUGAACGCUAUAAGCUACUCUUUUUGUUUCUAUCAACAAAAAUAAUACUUACUCAAAUACUUUUGUGAUUUGACAAAUGCAGUGGGUCUCCGAGUGUAUACUGCCACGUGAAAGGAGACUGAAUGGCAGUAAUCCAUGUAUCCAUUGCUAAUGGCAGCUCAACAUGGAGGUGAACACAUUUACACAUAUUUGUCGAUAACCACUCAUCCAAAAAACUUCUGUCGUGACUCAGCACAUCUCUGGGUCCUGGGCAAUACACCUGAACUUCAUAUAGAGCCUUGUUCUCUAAAUAAUCAUCCCACAGACAGACACACACACACACAGACGGAAACACAGAGAUUCCUGCCUUCAUCGUUACAGUAGAUGCCACUUAAUUACCAUAUUUAACAAAACUAUUAAAUACAUCAUUUGUGACUAUUCUACUCAUAGUUACACAGAAACAAGUUAAGCAACACUGAGGGGAGGAGCUAGAUUCAGGAAGGAUUUCUUAGACCUAUAUGAACCCUAGCUAUUGUAGUGUCUAAAAGUAUGUCAGUGAAGUUUAGUCUUGUUUGUUGUCAUCCUGUUUCACAAAAGUUGAUCAUGUUUAGUUGUUUCAUUUUUGUCAUUGCUAUGUUUGUAGGAAAUGGUUCGGCUGAAAAUGGAAUUUAUUCAGAUAGUCUUGAGGAAAGGGUGAUGUUUGGUGACA